AGCAGUAGCCGCGGGAAAACGAAGGGUGCAAGCGUUACUCGGAAUUACUGGGCGUAAAGCGUGCGUAGGUGGUGGUUUAAGUCCGUUGUGAAAGCCCUGGGCUCAACCUGGGAAUUGCAGUGGAUACUGGGUCACUAGAGUGUGGUAGAGGAUAGUGGAAUUUCCGGUGUAGCAGUGAAAUGCGUAGAGAUCGGAAGGAACAUCUGUGGCGAAGGCGACUAUCUGGGACAACACUGACGCUGAGGCACGAAAGCGUGGGGAGCAACCAGGAUUAGAUACCCCUGUAGUCCCUGUCUCUUAUAC
rnacentral:rRNA from 1 species